UUGAGAUUACUUUGCAGUGUCAUAAGUGUUCUUUACUUACCUCUUAGUAAAGAACACUUAUGACACUGCAAAGUAAUAGAC
rnacentral:miRNA from 1 species